rnacentral:rRNA from 1 species
UGGGGAAUUUUGGACAAUGGGCGAAAGCCUGAUCCAGCAAUGCCGCGUGUGUGAAGAAGGCCUUCGGGUUGUAAAGCACUUUUGUCCGGAAAGAAAUCCUCUGGGUUAAUACCUCGGGGGGAUGACGGUACCGGAAGAAUAAGCACCGGCUAACUACGUGCCAGCAGCCGCGGUAAUACGUAGGGUGCAAGCGUUAAUCGGAAUUACUGGGCGUAAAGCGUGCGCAGGCGGUUUUGUAAGACGGAUGUGAAAUCCCCGGGCUUAACCUGGGAACUGCAUUCGUGACUGCAAGGCUAGAGUAUGGCAGAGGGGGGUAGAAUUCCACGUGUAGCAGUGAAAUGCGUAGAGAUGUGGAGGAAUACCGAUGGCGAAGGCAGCCCCCUGGGCCAAUACUGACGCUCAUGCACGAAAGCGUGGGGAGCAAACAGGAUUAGAUACCCUGGUAGUCCACGCCCUAAAACGAUGUCAACUAGUUGUUGGGGAUUCAUUUCCUUAGUAACGUAGCUAACGCGUGAAGUUGACCGCCUGGGGAGUACGGUCGCAAGAUUAAAACUCAAAUGAAUUGACGGGGUCAUAGCUGUUUCC